rnacentral:misc_RNA from 1 species
CGCACAUUGCGCCCUUUGGUAUUCCAAAGGGCAUGCCUGUUCGAGCGUCAUUUGUACCUUCAAGCUUUGCUUGGUGUUGGGCGUUUUUGUCUCCCUCUUUCUGGGAGACUCGCCUUAAAACGAUUGGCAGCCGGCCUACUGGUUUCGGAGCGCAGCACAUUUUUUGCGCUUUGUAUCAGGAGAAAAGGACGGUACUCCAUCAAGACUUUUACAAUUUUAACUUUUGACCUCGGAUCAGGUAGGGAUACCCGCUGAACUUAA